AUAAUGUAUUGCAGUACACACCCAAGAGUUACCAUGCAUGAUCCGUGAAUGAUGGGUAUCAGGCCUGGACCAGGUUUGAUUCUAUAACGGUCCAGCAUCGACGGCCAUCACUGCUGAAUCGAGGCUGUUGCUCUGGCCUGGACCAGUAUCUAUUUCAGUCCCGAUGUAGUCAUAGCUGAUACAGUAAUGUCUGUUCGUCAGUACUGGUCCAGGCUGUAUAUCAGUACUGGAUCAGAUCGAUGCUUUUCAAGAUGGCAGCCCCGCGUGGACUAUCUGACAUGUUUUGUUAAAGAAAAUCAUCUUAAUCUGACUCUUUAAGAGAAAUCUCGUUGGCUGUAUACACUAGGGCUAAAUCACUGGAUGUUAUGCUAUUUUGAACCAUUUAUUACUUAAACAUGAGUAGGAUACACGAUAUUUUGAGUAAAAAAUACAUGACUGGAAAAUAAAACGACUGACAACUUCCAAUUAAAGUUUACCACAUCUUGCCUACAAAAUCUCUAUGAUACGAAAGUAGAGACCUGGGUUUAUGAGGAAUUAUCAAAGGGUAUUGAGCCAAACAUUGAAACAGAGCGAAGAAGACCUUUCUGCAAUAAUCAUGACACUAGUGAAGACGAUGAGAAAUCAGGCGGUGAAUGUAUUAGUGAUCAUGAUGAUGAAGAUAUCGUACUGAGAGACUUAUGAAUGAUAGUCACAAGUGUGAAUUUUUGAUGCGGAAGAUUAUUCUGGAAAUAUUAGUAUAGCCACUAGUAUACAUUCUAUAGUUACCUUAUCUUACUAAGUUUCAAGACAAGAAUAUCUUAGGUUUGUUUAAUUUCAUGUGAAAAGCUAAAUUCAUUAUUCAGGUUGUGAUGAACUGAAACUUUCUUGUUUAAAGCUCUUGUUAAGUUCACUUCAAAUAGCAUUGAAUUUUUUUGUGAACCUGCCUUCAUCAUGCUGGUUAAGGAAGUUAUGUUAUGGAUCUAAGCUUUGUAGGACUAUGUGUUACAAGAUACCUUUGAAAGAUCUGCUUCACUACAUGGAACCCCAGAGUUCAUUAAUGUUGGAGAUUUUUGGAAAUUAAUUUCUCAGUAAUGUGUCUUAAGUUACAAAACAUGAAGUGUCUUACUUGUGGAACAUUGGUAGACUAUGAUGAAGAAAACAAUUAUAAUCUUUUUUUGGUUUUAAUAAUAAUUCCAAAUCAUUUUAAAUUAAUAA
rnacentral:lncRNA from 1 species